rnacentral:rRNA from 1 species
UUUAAAUUUAGAGUUUGAUCCUGGCUCAGGACGAACGCUGGCGGCGUGCUUAACACAUGCAAGUCGAGCGAUGAAGCUUCCUUCGGGAAGUGGAUUAGCGGCGGACGGGUGAGUAACACGUGGGUAACCUGCCUCAAAGUGGGGAUAGCCUUCCGAAAGGAAGAUUAAUACCGCAUAAUAUAAGAGAAUCGCAUGAUUUUCUUAUCAAAGAUUUAUUGCUUUGAGAUGGACCCGCGGCGCAUUAGCUAGUUGGUGA